rnacentral:tRNA from 2 species
GGCUGGGUAGCUCAGGUGGUUAGAGCGAGGGUCUCAUAAUCCCUAGGUCGACAGUUCGAGUCUGUCUCCAGCCACCA